UACGGAGGGUGCAAGCGUUAAUCGGAAUCACUGGGCGCAAAGCGCACGUAGGCGGCGAAUUAAGCUAGCUGUGAAAGCCCCGGGCUCAACCUGGGAAUUGCAGUUGGAACUGGUUGGCUAGAGUACGGUAGAGGAGUGUGGAAUUUCCUGUGUAGCGGUGAAAUGCGUAGAUAUAGGAAGGAACAUCAGUGGCGAAGGCGACACUCUGGACCGAUACUGACGCUGAGGUGCGAAAGCGUGGGGAGCAAACAGG
rnacentral:misc_RNA from 1 species